rnacentral:rRNA from 1 species
CCUUCGGGCGGCAGCAGUGAGGAAUAUUGGUCAAUGGACGCAAGUCUGAACCAGCCAUGCCGCGUGCAGGAAGACGGCUCUAUGAGUUGUAAACUGCUUUUGUACGAGGGUAAACGCAGAUACGCGUAUCUGUCUGAAAGUACCGUACGAAUAUGGAUCGGCUAACCCCGUGCCAGCAGCCGCGGUAAUACGGAGGGUGCAAGCGUUAUCCGGAUUUAUUGGGUUUAAAGGGAGCGUAGGCGGUCGGGUAAGUUAGAGGUGAAAUCCCGCGGCUCAACCUGGGAAUUGCCUCUGAUACGGUUAGGCUAGAGGGUAGUUGAGGUAGGCGGAAUGUAUGGUGUAGCGGUGAAAUGCUUAGAGAUCAGACAGAACACCGAUUGCGAAGGCAGCUUACUAAGCUACUACUGACGUUGAGGCACGAAAGCGUGGGGAGCAAACAGGAUUAGAUACCCCGGUAGUC